rnacentral:tRNA from 1 species
ACUGAAAUAGUUUAGUUGGGAGAGUGUUAGACUGAUGAUGUAAAGGUCCCUGGUUUGAUCCCGGGUUUCGGUG